CCCCACCCACCUUGUUUUUCUAUUUUAAAAUAAUGCUACAAUGCACAUCCUAGCAGUAGAACUGCUGGCCAAAUGAGAUAUGAAGAGACACGUCUG